UCAUCUCUGCCUCAUGUGUUUGGUUUAGUUUAAUAGAAAUGGCCGUGUUGCUUUUUGAUCAUGAGAGGUGGCAGGUGUCCUUACUCUUCUUUCUUGGGUGCACAUAAUAGAACCUAUAAAUCCCGGGCUACUCCCCUCCCCCAGCCCUUUGUUCUCCACAGACCUCAAGGGAAAGGUCACUCUGGAUGCCUUGAACGGAGGUGCCAGAAACCGUGCACAGGUUCUACAAGUCACCUCACAGGAUUUGCUGAUGGCAUAACCUGAGCGCGAUCUCCUUUGUGUUACUCCAACAACAAUAAAGCCAGAAAUAACUCUGACAUACAUUAAAAAAUGUAAGCGUCAAAAAGCCUUUCUUUCAGCCCCUCUCCCAAAAUAUUAGCAUGUAAAUGAGUUAGCUAACAGUCACUAAUGACAUUUUUUUGCUGCAAAAUUAUUGGCUAAUUAUACCCAUUAUUGUAUUCUUAGCCUAUCAGACCAUGCUUUGAUCAUCCAGAAACAAAAAUGUUUCUUGGAACCAAUCCACGGGGCAACAAAUGGAGUCUGUUUUGACUGUUCUUUCUGAAAACCCUGUUGCCAGUAGCGCUCAUCAUCGUCAUUGACCACGAGGCUUGGCAUGGACCCAGGAAGAACUGUGAUGGCAGGUCAUCCGGGGUCCUUAGGAGAGGAGUUCCUGCUCGGCUACUGUCCCUUCUAAAGCAUUCAUGAAAACAAAUAAUCACCACACAAAUGUGUACUCUCCUACCCGGAGUUAUCAUCCUAUCUUUCAGAAUACUGGACAUUCUCAUCAUCCCUGUGGCUGUAGCUCACAUCUAUGUGGCUCGGUGCCAAGAGAAAUGCCUAUGGAAAGGAAAGCCUGUUCUCAACAGAGAGCUGACUGCUUUGUGAAAGAUGAGAAGACAAAGCCUAAUACAGUGAAACUUCUUGAGAACAUUUUCCAGGGAACUGAACAUUUUGAAUGUUCUACGUGGGAAAACAUGCACUGGGAAGGCCGCACAAUGACGCAUUUCACUGCACUUCCACUUGCCAAACAUUCCAGCGCACCCUGCACACGAGGGUAAUAAACUGGCUUGAACAGGAGAUGGUCAGAAGCUCAGGAAAGCUUUCCUCCCGCCCCCUCUGUGGUUACACAAAACAGUCAGAACAGAGGCCAGGUCUGUUCUCAAAUACCAUGUUCUGGAGGAGGCAUAAGAAUAUCCUAUCCCUAGUCCCUUGACUAGCUCAAGUGGCUGAGAGAAGGGCAAAACUGGACCUUUCUAGAGACAGAAAUCACUUAAAAAAUGAACACACACAUGGGGAGCUCCAGUGGCUCAGCGGUUUAGCACCACCUUCAGCCCAGGGCCUGAUCCUGGAGACCCUGCAGGGAGCCUGCUUCUCCCUCUGCCUGUGUCUCUACCUCUCUCUGUGUCUCUCACGAAUAAAUAAAUAAAAUCUUUAAAAAAAAAAAAAAAA
rnacentral:lncRNA from 12 species